CAUGUCUUUUUGAUUAUAAUUUAAAGUCUGACCUGCCCUAUGAAUUAAAUUUUAAAUGGCUGCGGUAUUUUGACCGUGCAAAGGUAGCAUAAUAAUUAGUUUAUUAAUUGUGAACUGGUAUGAAUGGUUGGACGAGAAAAAAACUGUCUCAAUUUAAUUUAAAUUAAAAUUUUAUAUUUAAGUAAAAAAGCUUAAAUUUUUUUAAAAGACGAGAAGACCCUAUAGAGUUUUAUAUUUUUUUUUAUUUUAAAAAUUUAAAGAAUAAUAAUUUUAUUAUAUAAGAAAAUAUUUAGUUGGGGUGAUUGAAAAAUUAAAAGAACUUUUUUUAAAAAUAAAACAUUUAUUUAUGAAUAUUUGAUCCAUAUAUUUAUGAUUAAAAGAUUAAAUUACCUUAGGGAUAACAGCGUUAUUUUUUUUGAGAGUUCUUAUCGAAAAAAAAGUUUGCGACC
rnacentral:rRNA from 1 species